ACUUGAAUGGUUUAAGAGAGGAAAAUAUCAAUUUGUGGUGUUGGUGAUGUAUUUAUGAAGUACUUCAGGUG
rnacentral:tRNA from 1 species